rnacentral:rRNA from 1 species
AUUGAACGCUGGCGGCGGGCCUAACACAUGCAAGUCGAGCGAGCGGCGGACGGGUGAGUAAUGUAUGGGUAUCUGCCCGCUAGAGGGGGGUAAAUACUCGAAAGAGUUGGUAAUACCGCAUAUUAUUUGAGCGGCAGAUAUGGGAUUAGCUAGUGGGUGGGGUAAAGGCUCACAAAGGCAACGAUCCGUAGCCGGUUUGCGAGGACGACCAGCCACACUGGGACUGAGACACGGCCCAGACUCCUACGGGAGGCAGCAGUGGGGAAUUUUGGACAAUGGGGGAAACCCUGAUCCAGCCAUCCCGCGUGUAUGAGAAGGCCAUCGGGUUGUAAAGUACUUUUGGCAGAGAAGCGGUAUCUGCAGAAUAAGCACCGGCUAACUACGUGCCAGCAGCCGCGGUAAUUC